rnacentral:rRNA from 1 species
AGUACGGCGGAACACGAGAAAUUCCGUCGGAAUCCGCGGGGACCAUCCCGCAAGGCUAAAUACUCCCUAGUGACCGAUAGUGAACCAGUACCGUGAGGGAAAGGUGAAAAGCACCCCGGAAGGGGAGUGAAAUAGAUCCUGAAACCGUGUGCCUACAACAAGUCAAAGCUCGUUAAUGAGUGAUGGCGUGCCUUUUGUAGAAUGAACCGGCGAGUUACGAUUGCAUGCGAGGUUAAGUCGAAGAGACGGAGCCGCAGCGAAAGCGAGUCUGAAUAGGGCGAAUGAGUAUGUAGUCGUAGACCCGAAACCAUGUGAUCUACCCAUGUCCAGGUUGAAGGUGCGGUAAAACGCACUGGAGGACCGAACCCACGUACGUUGAAAAGUGCGGGGAUGAGGUGUGGGUAGCGGAGAAAUUCCAAACGAACUUGGAGAUAGCUGGUUCUCUCCGAAAUAGCUUUAGGGCUAGCCUCGGAAUUGAGAAUGAUGGAGGUAGAGCACUGUUUGGACUAGGGGCCCAUCUCGGGUUACCGAAUUCAGAUAAACUCCGAAUGCCAUUCAUUUAUAUCCGGGAGUCAGACUGCGAGUGAUAAGAUCCGUAGUCGAAAGGGAAACAGCCCAGACCACCAGCUAAGGUCCCAAAAUAUAUGUUAAGUGGAAAAGGAUGUGGGGUUGCACAGACAACUAGGAUGUUGGCUUAGAAGCAGCCACCAUUUAAAGAGUGCGUAAUAGCUCACUAGUCGAGUGACCCUGCGCCGAAAAUGUACCGGGGCUAAACAUAUUACCGAAGCUGUGGACUACACCAUUAGGUGUAGUGGUAGGAGAGCGUUCUAAGGGCGUUGAAGGUCGAUCGUGAGGACGGCUGGAGCGCUUAGAAGUGAGAAUGCCGGUAUGAGUAGCGAAAGACAGGUGAGAAUCCUGUCCACCGUAUGACUAAGGUUUCCUGGGGAAGGCUCGUCCGCCCAGGGUUAGUCGGGACCUAAGCCGAGGCCGAUAGGCGUAGGCGAUGGACAACAGGUUGAUAUUCCUGUACCAGUUGUUUUUGUUUGAGCAAUGGAGGGACG